AUGGCGAUGGCCAAGGGGGCUUGGCCACUUCCCCUCCCCGGCUGUUCCCGGGGGUUUUGUGCUCCGUCUCCAUCCCCGUCGUGGCUGGCGGGGUGUCCCCCUCCAUCCCUGCGUCCCCAGACCCCCCGGCCCGGGCUGCCUUGCAGAGCGCACGCCCUGCAGCACCGUGCACACGAGCAGGGCCAGGCUGCAGCCCCCUCGCAGGGCUGGGGGCAGCUGGGGACCCCCCCGGCGCCACCCCAGCAUCUCCAGAUGGAGGAUCAACCAGUCCCGCCGCGGCUGCCUUGUCUCAUCCGCCUCGCCGCGGCUGGGAAGCAGUUUCCGCAGGGCUGGGAGAUGCUCAGCGGCACGGUGGGGGACGGCUUUUCCUCGCCCCCGGCUCCCCGGCCUCGCCGGCUGCGGGGCCACGCGCGGCACAGCCUGCUCCUGGCGGGAGACGGGGUUGGAGGGAAGCGCCGUCGCUUUUGCAGCUGCGCCCCAGGAACGCCGCGCUGCCCACGACCGGCACGGCGGGGUGCGGGAAUACCUGGGGUUUGGGGGGCCGAGGGAGAAUCGCACUGGGGAGCUGUGUCCUGGCUACGCGGGAGGCUACGGAGAGCCAGGGAACGGCUCCGUCCAUCCCAUGAGACGCCCCCGGUCACCCAGGAGCAUCAGCCGGAGGCAAAGGCUGAGACUGCAGCGAUGGGAAACCCUGUAAUUUCCUCCCCCUUCCCGCUUCCCGCGGCAUUAGCGCGGGGCCGGCAGGCGCUACGUGAAGCCAGAGCGGCAAAGACGAAGCUGGGCCACGUCUAUCCGUCGCGCGCGCCGCCUGCAAGAUCGCCGUGCGUUUUGUGCGAUGCGCGGCGGCAGCAGACGCGCGCGGAGGGGCGGAUUUCCCUGCCUUCCCCGGGAGCGCCCCCUCCGCCCCCUCACCCUUCCUGCUCCGCCGCAAUAUAUUCCCCCAUCUCCCUUCGCCAAGGAAACAUUGGCCAGCGCGUUCCUCCUGGAAGCCUCAUUUACAGUGGAAGUGCAUAUGACAUCCCCAUUAACGCCAAAAUAAUUCAUGGCAAUUAA
rnacentral:lncRNA from 1 species